rnacentral:rRNA from 1 species
CAAUAGCGUAUAUUUAAGUUGUUGCAGUUAAAAAGCUCGUAGUCGGAUUUUGGCUGAGAACGAUCGGUCCGCCGUUAGGUGUGCACUGAUUGGUCUCAGCUUCCUGGUGAGGAGGUGUGCUUCACGGCCACUUAGUCACCGUGGUUACUUUGAAAAAAUUAGAGUGUUCAAAGCGGGCUUACGCUUGAAUAUAUUAGCAUGGAAUAACACCAUAGGACUCCUGUCCUAUUUCGUUGGUCACGGGACGGGAGUAAUGAUUAAGAGGAACAGUUGGGGGCAUUCGUAUUUCAUUGUCAGAGGUGAAAUUCUUGGAUUUAUGAAAGACGAACUUCUGCGAAAGCACUUGCCAAGGAUGUUUUCAUUGA